rnacentral:rRNA from 1 species
UGGUCUUGACAUACCACUGACCGUACUAGAGAUAGUAUUUUUUCUUCGGAAACAGUGGAUAC